UGGUGGAGUGAUUUGUCUGGUUGAUUCCGUUAACGAACGAGACCUCGGCUUACUAAAUAGAGAUGCUUUUCCCACGAAAGGUAAAUCUUCUUAGAAGGACAUUUCGGUUUUACCGGAAGGAAGUUCGAGGCAAUAACA
rnacentral:rRNA from 1 species